rnacentral:rRNA from 1 species
CUACGGAGGAUCCGAGCGUUAUCCGGAUUUAUUGGGUUUAAAGGGUGCGCAGGCGGCCAUUUAAGUCAGCGGUUAAAUCGUGGGGCUCAACCCCAUUCUGCCGUUGAUACUGGGUGGCCUGAUUGCGGUCGAGGUUGGCGGAAUUCGUUGUGUAGCGGGGAAAUGCAUAGAUAUGACGAAGAACACCGAUUGCGUAGGCAGCUGACCAGACCGCAAAUGACGCUCAUGCACGAAAGUGCGGGGAUCGAACAGGAUUAGAUACCCUGGUAGUCCGCACAGUAAACGAUGAAUACUUGUUUUCGGCGAUAUAAUGUCGGAGGCAAAGCGAAAGCGAUAAGUAUUCCACCUGGGGAGUACGCCGGCAACGGUGAAACUCAAAGGAAUUGGCGGGG